CUGAAGAGAAACGGUUGGCGUUGAGAACGAGAUAAACACGAGUGUGGUGUGACCGACUCGAGGAAAACGAUGCCCACAUUUAACGUACAGAAUUGAUCAUCUCCACCCAGUGUAGCCUACAGUAAGUGAGUCACACUCAUUUUGGCUUUAAGGAAGGUCGGAAGUCAGAUCGAAACUUCUCAGUCCUCCCCGUCAGGGUGACUAAGCAUUUCUGCGGAUUCCUGGUCUGCUUUACAUAGGAUGACGUCAGCGGCUCUAUCUUAAAGAAGCGAGAGGUAACAGAUUCGACAGUAGGUUGUGGACUGAAGUUAACACUUUCCAUGCUCAAAAACUGGCCUACUGAAAUUAACAUCAAUUUCCAAAAAUAGUUCAGACACAUAAAGGCCGUCUCUUCCUCCCUGUCUGAUAAAUCCACUGCAGCACUUCAAAGCUCUUUACUCAGGACAGUCUGAUCAGAAAUUGUAGGACAUCAGACAAAAACAGGCAAAAUUUCAUACCUCAUAGAGUUUACUUGCACAUAAAAGUGUAAACAGGAAGCAGGAACACAGACAUGUGCUACAUGUGACUGGCCUAUGCACAAAAAGUCAUAUCACACUUUAACAACAGCUUUCCCCAGGUCUGUCCCUUUCAGCAUCCGGAUGAAGGCGCCCGGCGUGUGCUCAAAGCCCUCAGUGAUUUUUUCCUUCGCCUUCAGCUUCCCCUGCAGAGUAGACAUGCCAUGACACAAAACCUCCAUCAGAAAAUGACUAGAAAACUCCCUCAACAAAUGGCUACAUUUUCUGUUUAUGACUUUGAAUUAUGGCCUGUGUAUUUAAAUAAUGAUAUAAUUAAUUAAUCAGUCAGGGUUGAUUACCAUGGACUAUCAUUUGGAAGUAUUUGCCUAAACUAGAAAAGCUGGGAAAUUAAUUAGCUUGAAAUACAACUUUAAUAGAAAGCAAUAGGCAAGUGUUGAAGGGACAUAAUCAAACACAUUUAAGAUUUAAAGACUAUUGUUGUGCAGUACUCCAGGAUUCUUGCAGUUGCUCUAUGUUGUUUUACUCGCCUGAGCUCAUAAA